UAAUGUCAACGUGGCACAAAUGCAAAGCAAUCUAUGUGCGCAUUACGCAUUCCGUGCACUCUGGAAACGUUCGUCCUCCCAACUCCAAUCCUACGCUUGUUUUCAUUUCUAUCUCUACAAAGGGAAAGAUCGCUUCUAAAUUUAGUCCCAUCUCUUCUGUAAAAGAGAAAAAUACUUCAUCGUUAACCUCCCAUCCUAUCAGAUCCUCCGUCUCGACACAAUCUUUCUUCCUUCCAAAUUUAUUCGCGAUUUCUUUUUCUUCCUACUAAACAAACCCUAAUUUCACUUGUUUCUCUUUAGAUUUUUUAUUCGUUUUCUAUAAUUCUUGCUGCUUCGCUUAAAGAAAGGAAAAUUUUAGAAACUGAAGAAUAAUUAAUUUCUUAUUUGUUUCGUUGUUUCUGAUUCUGAUACAUAGCUCUUCGUUUGCUGAGGAUUUUAUAUUUCCUCUUUUUGUAGCUUUUGGAAAGCAAUACCGUGAAGUUCGGUUCUUUCCUUUCCCAAAUUAUCGAAAUAUUGUUGUAUCUUCCUCUAUCGAUCAAUUUCGCAACUAACACUAUUGCCUAGUAGCCUAUCAGCAGUAAACCCAUAAAAGAACUAUAUUGCUGACAAGUCCCUCAAUUUAUGUUUCCAUUUGUCAUAUCUCUUUGUGUUGAUCUCAUGAUUUGUUGAAUUCUAUCGCCAAAUGUCUGUGGAAAGAUCGUUCGAAGCUUGGGAGGAAGUGCAGCGGCAUGGCCAGGAUCUUGCGGACCGGCUAGCGCAGGGAUUUACGGACCUUAUUCAGUCCCAUAUGACUAAUCCGCCGGCUUUUCCCUGGCCCAAUCCUCAAAAAUCGAAGCUUUUUGAUUUGGAGUUACCAGGCCACAGUUUCAACAGAAGGGAUUUUGGAGUAUUAACUGAUAAUACUGGGAUCAAUGGGGUUUCUGCAAUUCUAGAUAUUGGAAAUAGAAUUGGUCAAGCAGGGGCUGAUUUCGGGGCGGGCUUGAAUGGUUUAGUGCAGCAGUUCUUUAGGAGUUUGCCAGUGCCGUUUAGGCAGGAGGAGGGCGUUGGGAUGGAGGUGAGGAUGGACAGUAAAAGGAUUAAUCUUGGGGUAGGUGUGGAUGGCGAGUUGGGGUUGGUGAGUGACAGGUUGAGGGAUUAUGGAUUUGUGGAGAAUACUACUACUGGUAAACUGGACGAUCCAUCGGAUGAACAAACGGGUGGGUUUAACUUGAAACCCGUGGGACAUAUUGGUAAACCACAGGGCAUCAUAAAUAUCACAUCAACUUAUGACAGUAGAAGCAACAACAUAGAGAGUUCUUUGGUUACAAGGGGAGAUUUGUGGAGGGUUGAGGCGUCGCAUGGCAGUUACACACCAGGAAAUGAUAAUUCAUCUCUCUUCCUGAUCCAACUUGGGCCAGUACUAUUUGUUAGGGACUCGACGCUUAUACCUGUUCAUCUGUCAAAGCAACACUUGCUUUGGUAUGGUUAUGAUAGGAAGAAUGGGAUGCAUUCUCUAUGUCCUGCUGUCUGGUCAAAGCACAGAAGGUGGCUGUUAAUGUCAAUGCUCUGUCUUAAUCCAUUGGCUUGUUCAUUUGUGGAUUUGCAGUUUCCAAAUGGUCAGUUUACUUAUGUGUCGGGUGAGGGGCUGACUACCAGUGCUUUUCUACCCAUUUUUGGGGGCCUUCUCCAAGCUCAGGGUCAAUACCCUGGAGAAAUGAGGUUCAGCUUUUCUCAUAAGGUCAGAUUAUGGGAAGCUCCUAUCGUAACUUUUACAAAAACAAGUGGGGUACACGCAUCACACCAAUGGUACAAUGGCCUGACAAAUCAUUUACAUUGGGUUUUGCACAAGCCUUAGCAUGGCAGAGAUCAGGACUAAUGGUGAGGCCUACAGUUCAGUUCAGUUUGUGCCCAACUUUUGGCGGAAACAAUCCUGGGGUGCAGGCAGAACUUAUUCAUUCAGUGAAUGAGAAACUGAAUCUGAUGUGCGGAUGCUCAUUCAUGUCACACCCUUCUGUAUUUGCAUCACUGUCUAUUGGGCGGUCUAAAUGGAAUGGAAAUGUGGGGAGCUCAGGAAUUGUAGUGAGAGUUGAUAGCCCAUUGUGUGAUGUUGACCGACCAUCAGUUUCUGUUCAGAUAAAUAGCGGCAUUGAAUUUUGAAUCUGCAUCUGCCAUUAGAAUUGUAUAUACUUAAACAGUCUCCGAGCAUUUGAACAUACAAUGCCACUUGUAUAUUUUAAGCUUUUUUUUUUUU